AUUGAACGCUGGCGGCAUGCCUUACACAUGCAAGUCGAACGGCAGCACGGGAGCAAUCCUGGUGGCGAGUGGCGAACGGGUGAGUAAAGUAUCGGAACGUGCCCAGUCAUGGGGGAUAACGUAGCGAAAGUUACGCUAAUACCGCAUACGAUCUAUGGAUGAAAGCGGGGGGUCGCAAGACCUCGCGCGAUUGGAGCGGCCGAUAUCAGAUUAGGUAGUUGGUGGGGUAAAGGCUCACCAAGCCGACGACCUGUAACUGGUCUGAGAGGACGACCAGCCACACUGGGACUGAGACACGGCCCAGACUCCUACGGGAGGCAGCAGUGGGGAAUUUUAGACAAUGGGCGAAAGCCUGAUCCAGCCAUGCCGCGUGCAGGAUGAAGGCCUUCGGGUUGUAAACUGCUUUUGUACGGAACGAAAAGGUUUGGCCUAAUAAGCUGAGCUCAUGACGGUACCGUAAGAAUAAGCACCGGCUAACUACGUGCCAGCCGCCGCGUAA
rnacentral:rRNA from 1 species